rnacentral:rRNA from 1 species
GCUAUCACUCCUACGGGGAGCAGCAGUAGGGAAUCUUCCACAAUGGACGAAAGUCUGAUGGAGCAACGCCGCGUGAACGAUGAAGGCUUUCGGGUCGUAAAGUUCUGUUGUAAGGGGAAGAACAAGUGCCGCAGGCAAUGGCGGCACCUUGACGGUACCUUGCGAGAAAGCCACGGCUAACUACGUGCCAGCAGCCGCGGUAAUACGUAGGUGGCAAGCGUUGUCCGGAAUUAUUGGGCGUAAAGCGCGCGCAGGCGGCCUCUUAAGUCUGAUGUGAAAGCCCCGGCUCAACCGGGGAGGGCCAUUGGAAACUGGGAGGCUUGAGUAUAGGAGAGAAGAGUGGAAUUCCACGUGUAGCGGUGAAAUGCGUAGAGAUGUGGAGGAACACCAGUGGCGAAGGCGACUCUUUGGCCUAUAACUGACGCUGAGGCGCGAAAGCGUGGGGAGCAAACAGGAUUAGAUACCCUGGUAG